GGAAGUUUGAGGCAAUAACAGGUCUGUGAUGCCCUUAGAUGUCCUGGGCCGCACGCGCGCUACACUGAUACGUGCAACAAGUUCUAUCCUGGGCCGGAAGGUUUCGGGUAAUCUUGACAAUGCGUAUCGUGAUAGGGAUAGAUCUUUGCAAUUAUAGAUCUUGAACGAGGAAUUCCUAGUAAGCAUAAGUCAUCAGCUUGUGCUGAUUACGUCCCUGCCCUUUGUACACACCGCCCGUCGCUCCUACCGAUUUUGAGUGAUCCGGUGAACCUUCUGGACUGUGUCUGGGCUCGACUCAGACGUGGGAAGUUAAGUAAACCUUAUCACUUAGAGGAAGGAGAAGUCGUAACAAGGUUUCCGUAGGUGAACCUGAGAAGGAUCAA
rnacentral:rRNA from 1 species